UACGGAGGGUGCAAGCGUUAUCCGGAUUCACUGGGUUUAAAGGGUGCGUAGGUGGGUCUGUAAGUCCGUGGUGAAAUCUCCGAGCUUAACUUGGAAACUGCCAUGGAUACUAUAGAUCUUGAAUACUGUGGAGGUUGCCGGAAUGGAUGGUGUAGCGGUGAAAUGCAUAGAUAUCAUCCAGAACACCGAUUGCGAAGGCAGGUGACUACGUUUGAUUUGACACUGAGGCACGAAAGCAUGGGGAGCAAACAGG
rnacentral:rRNA from 1 species